rnacentral:rRNA from 1 species
UACGUAGGGUGCGAGCGUUAAUCGGAAUUACUGGGCGUAAAGCGUGCGCAGGCGGUGCACCAAGCUCGAUGUGAAAGCCCCGGGCUUAACCUGGGAAUUGCAUUGAGGACUGGUGUGCUUGAGUGUGGCAGAGGAGGGUGGAAUUCCGCGUGUAGCAGUGAAAUGCGUAGAGAUGCGGAGGAACACCGAUGGCGAAGGCAGCCCUCUGGGCCAACACUGACGCUCAGGCACGAAAGCGUGGGGAGCAAACAGG